rnacentral:lncRNA from 1 species
GAUGUGGUGGGGGAGUGGUGAGAGAGAAAAAGGAGUUAAACAAGGACGGAGUCUCCAUCAGCUGAGACAGGGAAGACAAUAGGUGUGGUAGAGGCAGUAUGUGGGACAUGCUACAUUUGAGACAUCUGUUAAACAUCUAAGCAGAAACCUACACAGGAGUCCACUAUCACCUCAAACUCAGCCUCUGUGACAAUGUGAUCAGCAGUUUCACCCCAUCCUCCUCUGCUCAAUUUCCUGCCUUUGUCAAGGCUUCAGUCUCCUCCUUGGCGCUCAGUGUCCCAUCCUGCCCAUCCUGCUGAAAUGCAUCUAAGAAGACUGGGGAGGGCAAUGGCCACAGAGGGGUGGCAGAAGGCCAUCCUGUCCACUCCCCACCGGCAGGCACAAUGACCACUCCCAGCUCCUCCAGAUUCCCCAAAGCAGCCACUAUCCCCACCUUGUCUGCAAGUUCCCAUGUCCUCCACACACCCCUCUGCUGCACAUUCUUCCCAACCUAACUACAAAGAACUGAAUGGAAUCAGUUUUGUUUCCAUACACCAGGAAUAAAUAAAAUGGUUACUCCAG